rnacentral:tRNA from 1 species
UUCGUCUAAUGGUAGGACAGCGGACUCUGAAUCCGUAAGUAUAGGUUCGAAUCCUAUAU